rnacentral:rRNA from 1 species
UACAGAGGGUGCGAGCGUUAAUCGGAAUUACUGGGCGUAAAGCGUGCGUAGACGGUAAUGUAAGUCAGAUGUGAAAGCCCCGGGCUCAACCUGGGAAUUGCAUUUGAGACUGCUCUGCUCGGGUGCGGAAGAGGGAAGCGGAAUUUCCGGUGUAGCGGUGAAAUGCGUAGAUAUCGGAAGGAACACCAGUGGCGAAAGCGGCUUCCUGGUCCGACACCGACGUUCAGGCACGAAAGCGUGGGGAGCAAACAGG